UACGGAAGGCAGCAGUGGGGAAUAUUGCACAAUGGGCGAAAGCCUGAUGCAGCUAUGCCGCGUGUAUGAAGAAGGCCUUAGGGUUGUAAAGUACUUUCAUCGGGGAGGAAAAAACAAAACUAAUAAUUUUAUUUCUUGACGUUACCUGAAAAAGAAGCACCGGCUAACUCCGUGCCAGCAGCCGCGGUAAUACGGAGGGUGCUAGCGUUAAUCAGAAUUACUGGGCGUAAAGAGCACGUAGGUGGUUUUUUUAAGUUCAGAUGUGAAAUCCCUGGGCUUAACCUAGGAACUGCAUUUUGAAACUGAAAUACUAGAGUAUCGUAGAGGGAGGUAGAAUUCUAGGUGUAGCGGUGAAAUGCGUAGAUAUCUGGAGGAAUACCUGUGGCGAAAGCGGCCUCCUAAACGAAUACUGACACUGAGGGUGCGAAAGCGUGGGGAGCAAACAGGGAUUAGAUACC
rnacentral:rRNA from 1 species